rnacentral:sRNA from 1 species
AUAUCUCUCUGUACGGGAAGGAUGAGAAGCUUCGACUAAGGUUCGAUUCGAGCGAAAGCGAGAAAGCGUUGCCGCAGGCAACGA